UACGGAGGAUGCAAGCGUUAUCCGGAUUCAUUGGGUUUAAAGGGUGCGUAGGCGGGGUGGUAAGUCAGUGGUGAAAGCCUGCAGCUUAACUGUAGAAUUGCCAUUGAUACUGUCGCUCUUGAGUGCGGUUGAGGCAGGCGGAAUGUGUAAUGUAGCGGUGAAAUGCUUAGAUAUUACACAGAACACCGAUUGCGUAGGCAGCUUGCUAAACCGUGACUGACGAUGAGGCACGAAAGAGUGGGGAGCAAACAGG
rnacentral:rRNA from 1 species